UUGCCACCAAUGUCUAUUAUACAAGCUUAAUUCAUGCACUAACCGUGCAUAUUAUUUUUUUAUUUUUUUUAGAAUAACAAUAUGCAAAUUAGGUAAAUGCAUGAAUUAAGCAUGCGUAAUAGGCAUUGGUGCCAAAAAAUGAAA